GGACAGUCAUCGCCGAGUCCCCCGAGGCGCGAGCCAGGGGAGCCGGGGACCCACGUCCCUGGGGUGAAUCGGGCCUCUCCUCGCGAGGCGCCCGUAGGAGACCUUCCUGCUCCGAACCCGUCAGCUAACCCGGUAGGCGAGAAGGAAGGAAAGG
rnacentral:sRNA from 2 species